AUUGAACGCUGGCGGCAGGCCUAACACAUGCAAGUCGAACGAGUGGCGGACGGGUGAGCAAUUUCUGGGAACGUGCCUGAUGGAGGGGGAUAACUACUGGAACAGGUAGAUAAUACCGCAUACCAUCAUUUGUGCUCACAUGGAGUUAGCUUGUGGGUGGGGUAACGCCGCACCAAGGCGACGAUCCCUAGCUGGUCUGAGAGGAUGACAGGCCAAACUGGAACUGAGACACGGUCCAGACUCCUACGGGAGGCAGCAGUGGGGAAUAUUGCACAAUGGGCGAAAGCCUGAUGCAGCAAUGCCGCGUGUAUGAAGAAGGGCUUCGGGUGGUAAAGUACUUUCAGCGGGGAGGCGGUACCCGAAGAAGAAGCACCGGCUAACUCCGUGCCAGCAGCCGCGGUAAUAC
rnacentral:rRNA from 1 species